AAGGAUCAUUACCGAGUUGAUUCGGGCUCCGGCCCGAUCCUCCCACCCUUUGUGUACCUACCUCUGUUGCUUUGGCGGGCCGCGGUCCUCCGCGGCCGGCCCCCCUCCCCGGGGGGUGGCCAGCGCCCGCCAGAGGACCAUCAAACUCCAGUCAGUAAACGAUGCAGUCUGAAAAACAUUUAAUAAACUAAAACUUUCAACAACGGAUCUCUUGGUUCUGGCAUCGAUGAAGAACGCAGCGAAAUGCGAUAAGUAAUGUGAAUUGCAGAAUUCAGUGAAUCAUCGAAUCUUUGAACGCACAUUGCGCCCUUUGGUAUUCCGAAGGGCAUGCCUGUUCGAGCGUCAUUACAACCCUCAAGCUCUGCUUGGUAUUGGGCACCGUCCUUUGCGGGCGCGCCUCAAAGACCUCGGCGGUGGCGUCUUGCCUCAAGCGUAGUAGAACAUACAUCUCGCUUCGGAGCGCAGGGCGUCGCCCGCCGGACGAACCUUCUGAACUUUUCUCAAGGUUGACCUCGGAUCAGGUAGGGAUACCCGCUGAACUUAA
rnacentral:rRNA from 1 species